AAAAUGAAGUUAAUAAACCUUGCCCACUGCGCCAGACCAAGCAAUGUUUCAAGAAAGAAUCACUGUGUGUAAGUUUUCGCCGCGCAGUUUAGCGCUGGCAAUAGAAUACUGUAAUGAUCCUCUUCCGUAGGGGGACCUGCGGAAGGAUCAUUACAGUAUUCUUUUGCCAGCGCUUAACUGCGCGGCGAAAAACCUUACACACAGUGAUUUCUUUCUUUGAAAACAUUGCUUUGGUCUGGCGCAAGUUGGGCCAAAGGUUUAUUAAACUUCAAUUUUAUUGAAUAGUUAUUAACGAUAGUCAAUUUGUUGAUUAAAUUCAAAAAUCUUCAAAACUUUCAACAACGGAUCUCUUGGUUCUCGCAUCGAUGAAGAACGCAGCGAAUUGCGAUACGUAAUAUGAAUUGCAGAUUUUCGUGAAUCAUCGAAUCUUUGAACGCACAUUGCGCCCUUUGGUAUUCCAAAGGGCAUGCCUGUUUGAGCGUCAUUUCUCUCUCAAAUCUUCGGAUUUGGUUUUGAGUGAUACUCUUAGUCGGACUAGGCGUUUGCUUGAAAAGUAUUGGCAAGAGUGGUGCUUUUUAGUGCUAAGCUGUUUCAAUGUAUUAGGUUUAUCCAACUCGUUGAAUGCGGCAUAGGACAGAGAGUGCGUGGGCUCGGCCUUACAACAACAAACAAAGUUUGACCUCAAAUCAGGUAGGAUUACCCGCUGAACUUAAGCAUAUCAAU
rnacentral:rRNA from 1 species